UGUUAGAGUAAAUUCACCUGGAACAGUAGAAAAUUUAAAUGGUUAUCUUCUUCUAAAAGAAGAGUACAGUUCUAUCAGAUGAGA